UAGAAAACGGAAACCAGUUAUGCCUUGCCACCUGAGGGGAUGGAUUCUGGUGGUGAACUCUGCUGUUGUCCAGCUCCCCUUCUCCUCCUGCCCUCUAGGACCCCAGUUUGGUUCUUCGCGCAUCAGCCCUCUCCUGCUUCGAAUCCUCCUACUCAUGUUUGGUCCUCCACCUCCUCCUUGAGUUGCUGGUGUUGUUUUCCCACAUCUCCUCAAAGCACCUGGAACUGUUACUGAAGGACCUCAGCUGAUUUCUCAGGAGUUUUCAGCUUUGAAGAUGGGCCUGGUUCCAAAUCUACUUAUGACAGAAAUAAACGGGGCUUGAUAUGCAAUCAAC